rnacentral:rRNA from 1 species
GACGAACGCUGGCGGCGUGCUUAACACAUGCAAGUCGAACGGUAAGGCCCUUCGGGGUACACGAGUGGCGAACGGGUGAGUAACACGUGGGUGAUCUGCCCUGCACUUCGGGAUAAGCCUGGGAAACUGGGUCUAAUACCGGAUAGGACCACUGCCUGCAUGGGUGGUGGUGGAAAGAUUUUGCGGUGUGGGAUGGGCCCGCGGCCUAUCAGCGUGUUGGUGGGGUGAUGGCGUACCAGGGCGACGACGGGUAGCCGGCCUGAGAGGGUGACCGGCCACACUGGGACUGAGAUACGGCCCAGACUCCUACGGGAGGCAGCAGUGGGGAAUAUUGCACAAUGGGCGCAAGCCUGAUGCAGCGACGCCGCGUGAGGGAUGACGGCCUUCGGGUUGUAAACCUCUUUCAGCACCGACGAAGCGCAAGUGACGGUAGGUGCAGAAGAAGGACCGGCCAACUACGUGCCAGCAGCCGCCGUAA